AAAAAAUCGAAAAACACAAUCAUUAACACCAUCAUCAGUAUACAUCAGAAGAAACGCAUAUCUUUUAUAUAAAAAUAUAUAAUUACAUGCUACUAAACGUGACUAUAUAUAAUUACAUGUAUAUGACCAUAUGUGACUAUAUAUGACUACAUGUAUAUGACUAUAUGUGACUAUAUAUGACUACAUGUAUAUGACUAUAUGUGACUAUAUAUGACUACAUGUAUAUGACUAUAUGUGACUAUAUAUAACUACAUGUGACUAACUAUAUGAGUAUAGUCAUGUAUAGUAUAAUUUGAAUUUAUAGCUUCAAAUCUCACUUUUCAACCCGACAACAACUCCGAACUAUCGAAACUGGAACACUAAAAGCAGGCUCGGUUCGAUCCCAAACCAAAUAAAACGUAAAAUAAAAAAAA
rnacentral:lncRNA from 1 species